UGGCAUUAGCUCACAGUUGCUAUUAUUUGCCU
rnacentral:piRNA from 1 species